GCUCAGUUGGUUAAGUGUCUGACUCUUGAUUUCGGCUCAGGUCAUGAUCUCAGGGUUUGUGAGUUCAAGCCCCACAUUGGGCU
rnacentral:tRNA from 1 species